rnacentral:misc_RNA from 1 species
GAUGAAGAACGUAGCGAAAUGCGAUAAGUAGUGUGAAUUGCAGAAUUCAGUGAAUCAUCGAAUCUUUGAACGCACAUUGCGCCCCUUGGUAUUCCAUGGGGCAUGCCUGUUCGAGCGUCAUUUGUACCUUCAAGCUUUGCUUGGUGUUGGGUGUUUGUCCAUUCUCUUGUAGAGGGACUCGCCUUAAAGUAAUUGGCAGCCAGUGUUUUGGUUUUGAAGCGCAGCACAAGUCGCGAUUCAAAGCUAUACGCCCGCUUCCACAAGCCUUUUUCACUUUUGACCUCGGAUCAGGUAGGGAUACCCGCUGAACUUAAGCAUAUCAAUAAGCGGAGGA